rnacentral:rRNA from 1 species
AGACCCGAAACCCGGUGAUCUAGCCAUGGGCAGGUUGAAGGUUGGGUAACACUAACUGGAGGACCGAACCGACUAAUGUUGAAAAAUUAGCGGAUGACCUGUGGCUGGGGGUGAAAGGCCAAUCAAACCGGGAGAUAGCUGGUUCUCCCCGAAAGCUAUUUAGGUAGCGCCUCGUGAAUUCAUCUCCGGGGGUAGAGCACUGUUUCGGCUAGGGGGCCAUCCCGGCUUACCAACCCGAUGCAAACUGCGAAUACCGGAGAAUGUUAUCACGGGAGACACACGGCGGGUGCUAACGUCCGUCGUGAAGAGGGAAACAACCCAGACCGCCAGCUAAGGUCCCAAAGUCAUGGUUAAGUGGGAAACGAUGUGGGAAGGCCCAGACAGCCAGGAUGUUGGCUUAGAAGCAGCCAUCAUUUAAAGAAAGCGUAAUAGCUCACUGGUCGAGUCGGCCUGCGCGGAAGAUGUAACGGGGCUAAACCAUGCACCGAAGCUGCGGCAGCGACACUCAGGUGUUGUUGGGUAGGGGAGCGUUCUGUAAGCCUGUGAAGGUGGCCUGUGAGGGUUGCUG